GCCCUGCGCAAACAUGCAGAGCUCUCGCCUCCCAGCUGCGUAAACAAGCCGCUCUCCUUCCAGCCCAUGAGCGGCUCRCUGCUUCUGGGGAGGUCCUUUGAGGACAAACUCUGGGGCUGUGACUUGGAUCCUCCAGGAGCCAGGAUCACGUGGAAGGACUGCAGGCUGCCUGCACUCCAAUACCAGAYUCCAUAAAAGAAGGGCUGAUUAUUUGUGGUGUGUGCAAAGCUUUGAGCACUGAACAGCAGCUGCAGCGUGCAGGCCUUCUCCAAACAAGUGGAACUGUGGAAGGAAAGGCAACCUAAAAACGUGCAUUGUGAACAUUUGUGCAGAGGCUCAUCUUAAUGAACAGGGGCCCUCCCUGCUGCAUUAAUUUGCAAAUUAAAAGAAAUUUGAAACAUGGCAAACUGGAAGCAUGUGAAUUUAUUAUGGGAAGGCCUCUGUGGUUGCCACCUACACCUCCAAUUGGACCAAGAGACUUAAUAUUCAAGGAUGACUGAAUGCUAGGUUAUUGCAGGGAACUAAUUAAAAGUGUUAGGUCUAUAUACCCAUGGGUGUGUGAUGCUCCUCCUGAACCUGCUGGUAUGUUACCUGUCGCAACCUGGAGACAGGGGAUAUGUGAAAGUCCACCAAGGAAAGACCUCUCUUCAGCAUCACUAGAAGAGACCUUACGAGAUCGUAUUAAGCACCAACACUGCUGUACACCCUGAAGGACUGACCACUUGGGUACACACAUCCUACCGCAAGAAAGUGACAUCACCUGCAGAGCCUGGCCCAACUAAGUCCUCUUUCAAGCAAGAAUAAUCAAAUUGGGAACUUCAUUGUGAGCCAGACGUGACUCCUAGGCUCCCACGAGGAGCCACGGAACAACGUGCCUGUUAACAGUUGAGUGUCUUAGAAGGUACCUAUGGACCCUGGUAUCACCCUGUGCAAAAUUUAAAURGUGCCCACCAUUUUUUUUCACUAACUGUUAUC